rnacentral:lncRNA from 8 species
UGUUCUUUGAUAAAGAGUCUCUCCCUUCUCAUAUAAAGUAAGGAAUCAUGAGAUACCCUGUAAAAGCUUUUGUGCACAAGCCCCUUCAGUGUCAUACAUGUAAAAGAUUGUCAUGUGUCAAGUUUGUGCAGAAGGGAAGAAAGGAAGAAUAUCGUAUGCCAGAUGAAGGGAAAUGCUGAAACUGUGGAUUUGAACAUGCGCCUGAAUUCUUAGAGUGCCCUGAAGGGUAAGGAGUGUCCAGCGCGUCUCCUAUCUGGAGGCAGUGAGAAAAUUGGAAGGAACGAGUGGUGGGGAAGAAGCAAUGGUAGUAGAGCCACCAAGACCAGUGAAGGCUUUUCAUCAACUGAGGGAUAGUGAAAUGCUACAUGUUAAAAGGGUGGACUUUGUAUUAUUUAUUUCAAUGGUCAUAAACUAUACAGCACAAGCGGAGAAGAAGUCUAAGAAAAUUGGAAUCAUUGUGAAUGCCGCUGAACAUUUUUUGAGUCUAUGUGAUUUUACAGCCAAGGCGGUGCAAGAAAUCCUGUCGGUGAAUGUAGCCCCAUCACAGGCCCCUGAGCCCGUGUAGGGAUGUAAUUUGGAGUGGACUGUGAUUGAAGAAGUAUGAUUUUUCUUUCUCAUGUUUUUUAGAUGACGUGUUUUAUUUUGUAUGAUAUCGUUUUACCCAUUUCCCGGGAUAUUUUUUUUAACGUUUCUUAUUUAAUACCCCGUCCAGCUGGGGGCGGUAAUGCACCAUUAGCAUUGGAUGCCAACCGUCGUUAAACCCCAUUGAAGAAGAAGUAGACUAAUUUGCCUCAUGCAUAAUGCACACUGGCACUUCAACAAGGAAGCAAAGGGGGGCUUCUGACAAACACACGAGACUGCCAACAUUGUGGCACAGCAGAAGACAACAGUCCUGGAAGGCCUCCCCUUUUUUUCUUCGCAAAAAUCCAGCAAAAGCUAAGACGUGUGGCGAGUCUUUCAUUACAAGCACCUCUGCGUAUUUGAAACAGAACUUCAUUAUAAAGUUGAGUUCAUUACUUGGGAAGUAUAGAUUUUACACUCAUCCGAUAUGGUUUGCACCCUUUGUCCUUGUUUUAACUACAGCCAGACCAGAGGCACCGAAGUUGGCAUCUUCACGGUUGUAG